AGAGCGAACGCUGGCGGCAGGCUUAACACAUGCAAGUCGAGCGGGCGUAGCAAUACGUCAGCGGCAGACGGGUGAGUAACGCGUGGGAACAUACCUUUUGGUUCGGAACAACACAGGGAAACUUGUGCUAAUACCGGAUAAGCCCUUACGGGGAAAGAUUUAUCGCCGAAAGAUUGGCCCGCGUCUGAUUAGCUAGUUGGUGAGGUAACGGCUCACCAAGGCGACGAUCAGUAGCUGGUCUGAGAGGAUGAUCAGCCACAUUGGGACUGAGACACGGCCCAAACUCCUACGGGAGGCAGCAGUGGGGAAUAUUGGACAAUGGGCGCAAGCCUGAUCCAGCCAUGCCGCGUGAGUGAUGAAGGCCCGUAGGGUUGUAAAGCUCUUUUGUGCGGGAAGAUAAUGACGGUACCGCAAGAAUAAGCCCCGGCUAACUUCGCGCCAGCAGCCGC
rnacentral:rRNA from 1 species